UACAGAGGUCCCAAGCGUUGUUCGGAUUCAUUGGGCGUAAAGGGUGCGUAGGCGGCGCGGUAAGUCGGGUGUGAAAUCUCGGAGCUUAACUCCGAAACUGCAUUCGAUACUGCCGUGCUUGAGGACUGGAGAGGAGACUGGAAUUUACGGUGUAGCAGUGAAAUGCGUAGAUAUCGUGAGGAACACCAGAGGCGAAGGCGGUUACCUGGACAGUUACUGACGCUCAGGCACGAAAGCAUGGGGAGCAAAAGGG
rnacentral:rRNA from 1 species